GGCAAGGGUAAACUAUACUACCUGGGAUUUAUAGCUAGCAUAGAGGUACGAGUAAUAGUCUUAUCAAUGCAUCUCUACCGACAACACUAAUGCAUAUGUAUUUUAAAACAACAAUAAUAAUGGGAUAUGAUCAAAGUGAACUUGCCUUGUCCAAGGUUGUGAUAGUUCUCGCACUCUUCGCAACAACAAAGAAUACACUCCACACAAUCUAAAAUAAAAGAAAGAUGCACACAAUAAACACAACAUUCAAUGCAAAAAUCAUGCCAUGAUGCAUAUGCUAUGUUAAUGCACACUUGGUUACUUUUAAUGUAACAAGUUUUGUUUCUGUUUUGAAAAGUUUUUCAAAAGGUUUGGGCAACUUACACAUUAACAAAGAGGUAAUUAAUAUGCAAGAAACAAGGAUAGGAUUUAAAUUAAAAGAUUCUGUGGUUUUUGCAACACAGAGCAAGAUUUAAACUUGUAUUGCAUUAUUAUUCACAAAAUAAUUUCUCUUCUCGUCCUAAUGGACAGACAACAAGCUUAAAUAAUUUUACAGCAGGCUAACAAGCUUAAAACUAUUUUGAAACAAUUCAUUUAAAAUUUAAACCAUAUUCAAGCAUUCUGUAAUUUGCUUCUGACUAAGUUGUUCAAAACUGAAAUUAGACAGUGCCAAAAUAUUCUACAAGUUGUGACGAUUUCAGAAAGGUGUGGAUCAUAAUUCUUGGACAACCGGUUUAAAAGUUAUGAUGCUUUGAAGUUCCAGGGGCUUUUCUGCAAAAGUGCAUUAACUAACUCGGCCGAAAAAAAUAAAAUAACUAAAAAGAAAAAAGUCCUGCCACGUGGCGGCGCACGGUUGGCCGGGAUUAGGGUUUCCCCCUGGCUGCUGCGCGGCCGGCGGACGGCGGCGGCGAGCGGCAUGAGCAGCGCGGGCGGCGCAGGGCGGAGGCGGCUCGGGGGCGCGGGCGACGGUGCGGGACGGGGAGGCGGCUCGGGGCGGAGCAGGGCUGCUGGCGGCGGACAGCGGCGGGCGGCGAGAGAGAGGGCCAGCACGGUCGGCAGCGACGGCGGAACACCAAAACGAGGACGGCUCGCGUCAUGAACGAGGAGAGGAGAGAGGGUAGGAGGUCGGUGCGGGGAGAAGCUCACCGGAACGGCGGCGAAUCGCGAAGAACGGCGACGACAGAGACGAACUCCAGCGAGCAAUUAGUUGCAAUUCGAGGCGCAAUCAAGCGAGAGAUAUGGGGGAAGUGGAGGAGAAAAGCGAGGGCUAGAAACUAACGCGCUUGGAUUUGGAGGAGACGGCCCGUGCGCGGAGAAAUCGGAGGUGGAGUCGUUGGCGACUCGGAGUCGUGCGUAGCAUGGAAUCCGGACGGAGGUUAAAGAAGGGUGCGGGGUCCACCGGUCAGUGGCCACGGGCGGCUCGGGCUGGGCGGAGCCGGUCGGUCUAGUUUUCUUCGGUUCGGUGCGGUUCGUCCGGUUUUCUUCGGUUUUUCCUUUCUUUUUUUCUAUUUUCUGUUUUUGAAUCUCAAAAUUGAUUCGGAGCUCCAAAUCACUCCAAAUAAAUUACAACAAAAUUUGUAAAAUCAUAUUUUCAUAUGAUCUAACUUUUGGAACAAGAAUUUCCUCAAAAUAAAAUAUUAAAAAUACAUUUGCCUAUAAAAUGGCUUUUAGGGCCCUUAGGCUAUCAAAAUAAAUUAUUUUUCAAAAUAGUUUCAAAAGUCAACUUAUGGGAUAGCUUUAUAUAUGCAUUAAAUCCCUUUUUGUACCAAUACCCUCAUGGGU
rnacentral:lncRNA from 1 species